AGUAAUAUACAAAUUUAUGGUUUAAAGGGAAAGAGGUUAGAAUCCUCUGCGGUCCCGCCACUGUAAUGAUGACAAAAAUACUAAAACCACUGGAAUUUUUUCUGGGAAGGGGUAUUUGAGGAUGAAUCUUAGCCAGGAGACCUACCAUAAAUUAAAAAAUCUG
rnacentral:ncRNA from 1 species